CCUACGGGAGACAGCAGUGAGGAAUAUUGGUCAAUGGACGAGAGUCUGAACCAACCAAGUAGCGUGAAGGAUGACUGCCCUAUGGGUUGUAAACUUCUUUUAUAUGGGAAUAAAAUGUUCCACGUGUGGGAUUUUGUAUGUACCAUAUGAAUAAGGAUCGGCUAACUCCGUGCCAGCAGCCGCGGUAAUACGGAGGAUCCGAGCGUUAUCCGGAUUUAUUGGGUUUAAAGGGCGCGUAGGUGGAUUGUUAAGUCAGUUGUGAAAGUUUGCGGCGCAACCGUAAAAUUGCAGUUGAAACUGGCAGUCUUGAGUACAGUAGAGGUGGGCGGAAUUCGUGGUGUAGCGGUGAAAUGCUUAGAUAUCACGAAGAACUCCGAUUGCGAAGGCAGUUCACUGGACUGCAACUGACACUGAGGCUCGAAAGUGUGGGUAUCAAACAGGAUUAGAUACCCUUGUAGUC
rnacentral:rRNA from 1 species